rnacentral:rRNA from 1 species
UACGAAGGGGGGCUAGCGUUGUUCGGAAUUACUGGGCGUAAAGCGUGCGCAGGCGGUUUUGUAAGUCUGUCGUGAAAUCCCCGGGCUUAACCUGGGAAUUGCGAUGGAGACUGCAAGGCUAGAAUCUGGCAGAGGGGGGUAGAAUUCCACGUGUAGCAGUGAAAUGCGUAGAGAUGUGGAGGAACACCGAUGGCGAAGGCAGCCCCCUGGGUCAAGAUUGACGCUCAUGCACGAAAGCGUGGGGAGCAAACAGG